rnacentral:rRNA from 1 species
UACGUAGGGGGCAAGCGUUGUCCGGAUUUAUUGGGCGUAAAGCGCUCGCAGGCGGCUCGAUGCGUCGUGCGUGAAACACCCCGGCUCAACUGGGGAGGGUCGUGCGAUACGGUCGGGCUUGAGGCCAGUAGGGGGGAUGCGGAAUUCCGGGGUGUAGUGGUGGAAUGCGUAGAGAUCCGGAGGAACACCAGCGGCGAAGGCGGCAUCCUGGACUGGUACUGACGCUCAUGAGCGAAAAGCG